GGGAACUCCAUUAACAAAAAAACAAAAAUGCAGCGGGUGCCUACUACGGACAAAGCAUUCUAUCCAUCAGGCCGGGAAAUGAACAAGAACAGAGCUCUCUUUCCCACGAGAGGGCAAGUUUUCCAACAAGUGGGUAUGAUCGUGAGGAGAAUUUCGUGUUUCCACGUCUACCUCGCCAACAGGCUUCGCAAGCCACACUCCCAGGAACAAGUCGGCCCGUGGCCAUGCCCUACCUAGUUCGUGUCCCGAUUUGUUUGACCGACUUACAUCACAGUUCUCAAAGGAAACAAAAUGCAGAAGGACUUCAGUACUGAGUGGAAUAGGAGUGAUGAGAGUGGGCUUCCCUGUCUUGUUCCUGAUCUUAGAGGAAAAGCUUUCAACCUUUCUCCACUGAAAUGAUGUUAGCUGAACUUUCCAAACCUGUUGAUGACCUUGAAAUUGGCCUUGAGAGGAGUAUCUGCACCAUGGAACCUGAUGUCAACAUGUAAGAAGACAAUGAGGAACAUGGGAACCGUUCCCUGGAUUGAGGUUGAAUUCUGUGCCAUCGACGCUCCUUCUCCUUCAAGACAUUCUGACGUCAAUGAAUAUUUUGCUUCUGGGA